UUUCAUAAUUCUCACAAGAUGAAAUCAUCCAUGUUUUCAAAGCUUUUUGGGAAAACUAAACAGGAUCAACAAGUCAAUACUCUAACAACUUUUAAAUCUGAUUCAAAAUUCCAAAAUCGAUUCUAACCCUUGUGUGUUGUUGUUGUUGAUUGGAUUCGAUUCAAACUGAUUCAAGUCUGAAUUCGAAUACGAAUCCGGUGGUGGUUUGCGGUGGUGGUGAAUCGUCAGACUUUGUGGGGAGGAGGAAGGAGGGGCCGAAGGAAAGAUAAUUGAGAAGAGGGAAUGAAGUUUCUAGAAAAGAAGAAGAAGGAGGAAGUGAAGUGAGAAG
rnacentral:lncRNA from 1 species